rnacentral:lncRNA from 1 species
AAUUUUAUUUAUUCAGAUGUUUGUUACAUCAAAAUAUCCAGGUAACUCCCUCCCUCUCCUUCCUUUUAUUCUUAUUAUAGAAGGCACCAUUUGACAAAAAUAUAUAUUGAAAUUUUGGGGUACACUGAGGUGUAUGGGAUACCUCAGUUUCUCUCAGUAAAUUAAGGCUGAUAGGCCUUAUCUACUGUGUCCAGUACACAAACCAGGCCUCCAAGCAGUUGUUGGUAUAAAAGGUAAAUGAUUUAUUAAUAAAACAAAAGGAUAGCAAGGGAGGAUUAAGGAAUGAGAUUUCCCUAACCACUAUGAUUUCUCACUUCCCUCUCCCUCUAAGUUCCCCACAUGAGGAAGUCUGUUUUUCUUGAAGCUCCCUAAGUCCUUCCUUUCUCUGGCUAAUUUCCCAAGCCCUCUACACCUACCUGACUACCUGACUAUAAAAUCCUCCCUGUUUGGUUUCUCAAGAGAUAAGUUAUCCAAGAUGAAACAGGGAUGACUCUAGAUGUUUGAGGUUGACCUUAGGCCUCAACCAUCAAUUGCCCCUUGACAAUGUGAAUUUUAAAAGUCUCCAUCUUGGUCUAGCACCCAAAAAUUGUGCACACCCACACUACACGGGCAUGUGAUAGUCAAUGACAAAUCAAAAAUAACUAACUGCCCACCUGGGCUGCCUAAGCCAAGCUAGAGCCACCAUUGGCACUUGGUGAGGUACAGGAAGUGAGGUAGGGAACAGCCUCUGGAAUUCGCUGACUUCCUGUGGAGAGAGCUAGAUGCGAGUUCCUGUCAGGAGCUUGGACAGGGAGGAGGCCUGCAGACAGCUUCCCUUCAGAUUGGUCAUGGAGAAGAAAAUCAUACUGAGAAGAUACCAUAUAAUAAGUCUUGGUCUACAUGAAAGUUAUGACUUAAAAAAAGAAUUAAACAUUACACUUCAAUAAAUUAUUUUUAAGAACUGGCCUGAAGUUUUGGAACUAAAAGAUAAAGUAGAAUUUGAAAGAAUUCAUCGAUCACCACCUGUAAGAGAUCCCAGCAGGAAAACUCAAAGGAAUGGUAAUACAAAGUUUUGUCACUAUCAGUUUAAGGAGAAUAUUCUACCAAAAACCCCUAGAAACAGUGUAAAUAUUGUGUAACUAUAAUCAGUAUAACACAAGAUUUAGAACAUUCUACAUUAAAAUAAUGAAGAGUGUAGAAUAUAAUAUUUUAGAGAGCAAAGGUGCUGUGUCCACAACCAAGAAUAACCAACCCAGAAAAGCUGAGU